rfam:Salmo salar isolate Sally breed double haploid chromosome ssa05, whole genome shotgun sequence.
UGUAUUCACUACUGGAAGUCGCUCUGGAUAAGAGCGUCUGCUAAAAUGACUAAAA